rnacentral:rRNA from 1 species
AUUGAACGCUGGCGGCAUGCUUUACACAUGCAAGUCGAACGGCAGCGCGGGGCAACCUGGCGGCGAGUGGCGAACGGGUGAGUAAUACAUCGGAACGUACCCAGAAGUGGGGGAUAACGUAUCGAAAGUUACGCUAAUACCGCAUACGUUCUACGGAAGAAAGUGGGGGACCUUCGGGCCUCAUGCUUUUGGAGCGGCCGAUGUCUGAUUAGCUAGUUGGUGAGGUAAAGGCUCACCAAGGCGACGAUCAGUAGCUGGUCUGAGAGGACGACCAGCCACACUGGUACUGAGACACGGCCCAGACUCCUACGGGAGGCAGCAGUGGGGAAUUUUGGACAAUGGGCGCAAGCCUGAUCCAGCAAUGCCGCGUGAGUGAAGAAGGCCUUCGGGUUGUAAAGCUCUUUUGUAAGGGAAGAAACGGCUGAGGAUAAUACCUGCGGCUAAUGACGGUACCUGAAGAAUAAGCACCGGCUAACUACGUG